rnacentral:lncRNA from 1 species
AGUGAAUCAGAGAGUAAAAGCACCCCAGAUGGCUCUCCUGGACGUCAGCAAAGCCCUUGUUGAAUUGGGGCCAUUUGAAGCUCAAGGUUUCCCCAGGCUGGACAAGGUAGGGUGAACCAGGCUCAGGACCCACCAAAAAACAACAGAAGAGAGCAACAAGCCCAACCUACCCUGUGAAGAAGGCCACAGGCUGGCCCAGCUAUGCCUCACCUCUGGUAAAUCUGCAGUAAAUCCGGUCCCUCAGCCUGCAGCUAACAGGGGAAGAAGACAGGCCUCAAACUCUGUGAGGAGAGCAUCAGGAGAUUUCUGUGCACUGUACCAGAAUAAAUAGAAGACCUAGACAAAGCCAUCCACACGAAGCAUGGGCAGGAUUGAACAGAUGGCAAGACAUCUAUGCAAAUAUACGUUAGCAAGAAUGAUAAAGAUGGUGGAAGGAGGAAAGAAAGAAAGAGAGGGGUAUAGCUUAGAAAAGAUGGAUGAAGAAGAUAUUCCUAAAGAAAACAUAAUCCAAGAAAAGAAACCCUUCAGGCCGAGAAGUUCUGGCCCUCUCUUCCUAGCAGUGUUUGCAAUGAUGAGAGGGUGGCAGUGGGAAACAGCAAUGAGCAUGACCGACUUAGGUACCUCUUUGCAGUGACAGGAAACAGAUUAGUCAACUGGGGCAAUAGUCCAAGGUCCAGGUUGAAACCAGAAAACCAGACACACUGAUCCUUCAUCAAGUCACGGCUCAUGGCUCCUUGGGUCAUGACCAGUAAAACGAAGAACGCUUACAAUGGCAACGAUGGUGGACUUCAUAAAUGUUAGUGAUGAGCGUAAUGGAGGAGGCAGAAGUGGGCGUGAGUAUCGGUGGUGGCCUUGGAGUUUGAGUACAAUGCGACUGACUGCACUGGGAAGACCACCAAUGGCAGACGAAGCAGCUAACAGUGCUGGUGCCCACUCCGGUACAAGCCUACCUCCUCACCAUCUUCUGCAUCUUGUUCCUGCUCGUGCAGAGAGAGUGGAGACGGUUCUCACACUUUGAGAAAAAGUGUUCGUCAUCAAAAGGUGACAGGCCCCAGUUAUUGCUUUUACACCUUCCUGGUGACUUUCCUUUUUAAAGAAAUGGAUGGUCAUGUGUAGUUUUUGCUGUGUGGCCACUGGUUUUUAAAAAAUGCUGACUGUCUUCUCAUUCAGUUUGGGGGCGGGGAGGGACACGUGUGUUAAGUGGGCUCCUGCUUCCCCAGAAUCGUGUUCGACGUGGCCAACAGUGCAGGCACUGGACUGUAGCGGGCUGUGUGUUUGUGAUUUCACGGCUCCUCUGUUGGCGUCCAGGUUCUCUGCGUUCCAUCUCUGAGCAAGUUUUGCUGUUGUUGCUGUUGUUGUUUUUACUUUUAAAGAAAUCUGCUCGCGUUCUAAAUUCCCUGAGAUUUCUUGCAUUUAAGAAUGUCUUCUUAUUGCCUUUAUAAUUUCACAACUCAGCUGUCCCUGCUAGUUUGGGGAUAUAUUUAUUUCCCCCAGCACUUGGCAGAAAUUGC